UUGCGUGUAGCGAGUCGGCAGGAACAGUAGUACCAUGUAGCGAGUCGGCAGAAGCAGUUGUACUCUGUCAGUUGCGUGUAGCGAGUCGGCAGGAACAGUUCAGUUGUACUCUGUCGAUAGCAGUAAUCGGUCGUCAGUAGUAGGGAGUGGACGGUUGUACUGAGCAGGCGUCGGCAUGCGUCGGCGGCGUGUUCUUCUCGCUACUCUGGUCACGAUUCAGGACGAUAUGUAUUGUUGUAGAAGGUACUGAAAACAGUUUUGCCAGCAGUGCCAGUACUGGACUGUAGCAGGUGGAGAUCCCAACAGAAGAAACAACUUACAAAGAUUUCUCGAGACGAGGAGCGUACAAUGAAGAAGUACUGUCUGCUGACGUCAGUGCUGCUGUUGCUGACGCUUAUGGUGGCCAUUUUCUCGGCCUCUGCCACGCAAGAGUCGGUGACGACGCCCAAGUCAAGGAGGAGGAUGAUUGAGCCGAUUCUCAGGUGUCCGGAUGGCACUGUCCUAGUCGGUGGCUCCUGUCGAAGAGCACUAAAGAUUAACAGGUGAUAAGACGUCAACAGUGAAGAAAAAUAUCAUAUGAAGAUCUAUUACAAUAUUCAGAUAAGACAACCUCAGACAUUAAACAAUUCCAUACCUCUGGUUACUAAUAAAUGGAAGAAGACUGUUGUAAA